rnacentral:rRNA from 1 species
UACGUAGGGUGCGAGCGUUAAUCGGAAUUACUGGGCGUAAAGCGUGCGCAGGCGGUUUUGUAAGCCAGAUGUGAAAGCCCCGGGCUCAACCUGGGAAUGGCAUUUGGGACUGCAAGGCUUGAGUGCGGCAGAGGAGACUGGAAUUCCUGGUGUAGCAGUGAAAUGCGUAGAUAUCAGGAGGAACACCGGUGGCGAAGGCGGUUCUCUGGGCCUUACCUGACACUGAGGAGCGAAAGCGUGGGGAGCAAACAGG